GAGCUCCAACCACACCACAACCGUCAACGUAAUUCCACCUCAGGUGUGGUCUGAGAUCCAACAGGUAUACUUGCGUGUGGAAGGAAGGUGUGAAUGCUGGGAAGUAAAGAAAACAGUGAUCAAGUCAGAAUGUGAAGGAUGUGUCGUAGCUUUUUAUUUGAAGGAUAUGUGAAAUCAAUACAAGGUUGGAGGAAGAAAACUUGGAAGAAAAUGAUAG